AGGUAGAAUGGCUGAGAGAUUAAGUGGCAGGCUGUAGUCCUGUUAACAUGGGUUUAAGUCCUGUUUCUAUC
rnacentral:tRNA from 1 species